AACGAACGCUGGCGGCAGGCCUAACACAUGCAAGUCGAACGCCCUAGCAAUAGGGAGUGGCAGACGGGUGAGUAACACGUGGGAACGUUCCUUUCGGUUCGGAAUAACCCAGGGAAACUUGGACUAAUACCGGAUACGUGCGAGAGCAGAAAGAUUUAUCGCCGAAAGAUCGGCCCGCGUCCGAUUAGCUAGUUGGUGAGGUAACGGCUCACCAAGGCGACGAUCGGUAGCUGGUCUGAGAGGAUGAUCAGCCACACUGGACUGAGACACGGCCCGGACUCCUACGGGAGGCAGCAGUGGGGAAUAUGGACAAUGGGCGCAAGCCUGAUCCAGCCAUGCCGCGUGAGUGAUGAAGGCCCUA
rnacentral:rRNA from 1 species